GCCUACGGGGGGCAGCAGUGGGGAAUAUUGGGCAAUGGGCGCAAGCCUGACCCAGCAACGCCGCGUGAAGGAAGAAGGCUUUCGGGUUGUAAACUUCUAUCAACAGGGACGAAAGAAAUGACGGUACCUGAAUAAGAAGCCCCGGCUAACUACGUGCCAGCAGCCGCGGUAAUACGUAGGGGGCAAGCGUUAUCCGGAAUUACUGGGUGUAAAGGGUGAGUAGGCGGCAUGGUAAGCCAGAUGUGAAAGCCUUGGGCUUAACCCGAGGAUUGCAUUUGGAACUAUCCAGCUAGAGUACAGGAGAG
rnacentral:rRNA from 1 species